GUGCACCAGGCGAGAAAACUUCACAAUGUGCGAAAGCACGAUGAGGGAAUCCCAAGUGCUUGCACGUAAGUGUAAGCUGUUUCUCUGUCUAAAACGCAGAGGGAGUAAGGGCUGGGUAAGACGGGUGCCAGCCGCCGCGGUAAUACCUGCAGCUCGAGUGGUGACCGUUAUUAUUGGGCCUAAAACGUCCGUAGCCGGUUUAAUAAAUGCCUGGGUAAAUCGGACCGCUUAACGGUUCGAAUUCCGGGUAGACUGUUAAACUUGAGACCGGGAGAAGUUAGAGGUACUCCUGGGGUAGAGGUGAAAUUCUGUAAUCCUAGGGGGACCACCAGUGGCGAAGGCGUCUAACUAGAACGGGUCUGACGGUGAGGGACGAAGCCCUGGGGCGCAAACGGGAUUAGAUACCCGUGUAGU
rnacentral:rRNA from 1 species